rnacentral:rRNA from 1 species
GAUGAACGCUGGCGGCGUGCCUAAUACAUGCAAGUCGAGCGAACAGAUGAGGAGCUUGCUCCUCUGACGUUAGCGGCGGACGGGUGAGUAACACGUGGAUAACCUACCUAUAAGACUGGGAUAACUUCGGGAAACCGGAGCUAAUACCGGAUAAUAUAUUGAACCGCAUGGUUCAAUAGUGAAAGACGGUUUUGCUGUCACUUAUAGAUGGAUCCGCGCCGCAUUAGCUAGUUGGUAAGGUAACGGCUUACCAAGGCAACGAUGCGUAGCCGACCUGAGAGGGUGAUCGGCCACACUGGAACUGUGACACGGUCCAGACUCCUACGGGAGGCAGCAGUAGGGAAUCUUCCGCAAUGGGCGAAAGCCUGACGGAGCAACGCCGCGUGAGUGAUGAAGGUCUUCGGAUCGUAAAACUCUGUUAUUAGGGAAGAAUAAAUGUGUAAGUAACUAUGCACGUCUUGACGGUACCUAAUCAGAAAGCCACGGCUAACUACGUG